CGCCGUGGCUCACUUGGCUAAUCCUCUGCCUGCGGCACCAGCACCCUGGGUUCUAGUUCCAGUUGGGGCACCGGAUUCUGUCCUGGUUGCUCCUCUUCCAGUCCAGCUCUCCGCUAUAGCCCAGGAAGACAGUGGAGGAUGGCCCAAGUGCUUGGGCCCUGCACCCGCAUGGGAGACCAGGAGGAAGCACCUGCUCCUGGCUUUGGAUCAGCGCAGCACGCCGGCCACAGUGCACCGGCCAUAGUGGCCAUUUUGGGGGGUGAACCAACGGGGAAAAAAAAAGGAGACCUUUCUCUCUCUCUCUCUCUCUUACUGUCUAACUCUGCCUGUCCAAAAAAAAAAAAAAAAAAAAGCAUAAAGAAAAAAUUAAGACUAACUCUAUUUCAAUGAAUACAAUUAUGACACUGAAAGGAAAAGAUGGGAAAGAGGAACAGAGGGAAGGAGAAAGGGGAGAAGAAAUUUAAUAACUUAUGAGCACAGCUUUAGACCACAUAUCUUCAGUUUCAGCCAAGGUUGGCAUGCAGAAUGAAGAGAAAAGAAGUAAGUGCAAACAAAUCCUAACUUUUUUAGUACUUUAAUUUCAAUUGUAGAAAUUUGGAGGAAAGCAAUUAUAAACAUUGUACAUAGAUUAUUGGAUUGAGCAAAUGAGUUGAAGGGAGUCAGGGUUCUUACUAUGGAAGAAGGGACAUACAAAUAUAGCAUGAGAGAGGGCAGGAAGGAACCGUGGACAUGUACUGAGAUUGCAGGUGUCAUUGUGAACUAAUGAUCUCUAAAUUAUCUAUGUAUCUAUGUACAAGUAUUGUACACAUGCAAUCAUGUGCAUGUUUGUGUUAAUGUGUAUGUUAAAUAUAUUUUAUGUGUAGUUUUUUUAUAUAUCAUUGGAGAUACAGAUUUGUGUGUGUGUGUGUGUGUGUGUAUGCCUAUUUCCUAGCUAGGUAUGUCUAUUGAAAGUGUCAAGAAUCAACACCCCAGGGGCAACAAUCACACCUAAAACCCAAAUCUUCUACUCUAAUGCCAUUCUCCACCAAAAGGAAUAAAGUUCUUUGGAGAAAUGGCUGAAACUUAGCAUGAGGUAGGAUAGGGGGAAGAUGAGCCUGGAAUAUCUUGUUAUGCCAGAAAGUAAGAAACAUUUAAAAAGACAUGAUGGGGUUAUGUCCCAAGUACUAAGGAAGGUGCUAGCUGGAAAGGAUUUCUAUUAGGAAAAUAAUGAAUAAUUUGAGCUCCAAAAUUCUUAAGUACAGUGAUAAAUUAAUUACAAGCUACUGCAAAAGAAUUCAUGAGUCCAUAUGGAUAAUAAUAGAUAAAAAUGAAUAAUUCAGUGAAGGAGAUGGAGAGCUCUGACUUCACAUAGACUCCUGAUAGUCAAUUUGUAAAUGUUGAUGGUUUAUGGGAGUUGGAAAAUUAUCAUUUUAAACCAUCACAGCAAAGAUUGCUUUAGGCAAAAAUUAGCAAUAGCUGAUAAAUCUAGAUAGUCCUGAUGAAGAGAAAAAUGUCUGCAUAGUCUUAAAGUAUCUCCUCACGGAUUGCUCAUAGUGGUCAGGGAGAAGAAAAUAGUUUAUUUUUUAAUUAGUAUUCCAUUCCCUCAUCUUUUAAAUAUUCACUUUUAUUUAUUUAAAAGGCCAAUAAAGAGAGAGAGAGAGAGAGAUCUUCAGUUGGCUGGUUCACUCCCUAGAUGUCCACAACAGCCAGGACUAAGCCAUGAUGAAGUGAAGCCAGGAGCCUAGAACUCCGUUCAGGUCUCCCACGUGGGUGGCAGAGACUCAGUAUUUGAAUCAUCAUUUGCUGCCUCCCAGGCACAUUAGUAGGAAGCUAGUUUGGAAUCAGAAGCAGAAGCAGGAGCCAAUCCCAGGCACUCCAGGUGGGAGAUGGACAUCCCAAGUGGUGGGUUAACGUGCUGUACAAUACUUGUCCUGGAAACAGUAGCUUCGUAUUAAAGGAAUUGUACAACAACUUGACAGGGCAAUCAAAAUCAUUGUUACCAUUGGAGUAGAGAGACAUGGUGUGCCUCCAUGUCAUACCCUAAGAAGGACAUCAUCUAUGCAGUAGUCUAAUCAAGAAUAUACAUAUUGAAGAAGGAGAAUUGUAUCCUUAAAAACGACAAAUCUAACAAUUAAAUGCAAUACCCUCCCCUAGACUGGAUUCUGUAGUAGAAGUGAAAAUGCUUUAAAGGACACUAGUAAGUCAAUUGAUGAAAUUGUAAUAUAAAUGGUAGAUCAGAUUUAAAAAGUUACUUCAAUUUAAAAUUUACAGAUCCUAAUGAUUAUAUUGAUCCUAAUAAUUAUAUUGUGAUUUUGUAAGAGAAUAUUUCUAUAAUUGGGAAAUACAGUGAGGCAUUUCACUUACCCUUAAAUAGUCAAGGAAAAACAUUUGUGUAGAUAGAAAAAAAUGAAGCAAAUGUGAUAAAAUAUUAGCAAUAGGUGACACUGAAUUAAGGAUAUAUGAAUAUUUUUGUACUAUUUCACUAUUGCAACUUUUCUAUAAAUUUAAGAGAAUUUUCAAUUAAACAUUACUUUGAGCAGGUGAACAAAAUGAAGUCACCAACGAAGAAUGAACCUCAUGCCUCUAGCUGUUAUGGCCUGUGAAUGCAUCACCUAUGCAGUACUGUAGGUGAGCACACAUAACCCAAAUAAAAUCAUAAAGGAACAUCAAAAGUACCCCACAUGAAGAGUGGCCUGUUUUAAAAUGAGAGCUUUUUUUCUUUCUUUUUUUGCUAGCGUAAAAUCUACACUUCACAAAGUACACAGAGAAAUGAGAGAUCCUUGACCCAGAGGAGACCAGCUUUAUAGCUAUGUUGACAGCUUUUGAUAGAUACAACUAGUGCUAUGAUUUGUCCUCUCAAAAACUGAUGUUGAAUUUAAUUGCCAUUGUACUGCUAUCAAGAAAUGAGAUCCACUAGGAGAAAGAUUUGCCUUCUUCAGUGGAUUAAUGCCAUUAUAUAAGAGUGAAUUUGGCUCUCUGUUGUAAUCUUUUUCCUUCUACAAUGCAUUGUGGCAGAGUGAUUAAGCUGCCAUUUAGGAUACCCACAUCACAUAGUGGAGUGUCUGGGUUUAAUCUCAGCUUUGUUUCUGAUUCCAGCUUCCUGCUAAUGUGUAUGCUGGGAGGCACUGGUGAUGGCUCAAGUAGUUGGGUCUUUGCCACCCACAUGAGAAACACAGAUAGGGAUCCUGGCUCCUGGCGUCAGACUGGCCCAGAACUGGUAUUGCAGGUAUUUGGGGAGUAAGCCAGUGGAUAGAAGUUCCCUCUGUCGUUUUCCCCUGCCCCUCUCUCCCUUUCAAAUAAAUACAAAAUAAAUACAAUUUCUUAAAAAUUAUGCUUUUCUCACUUUUUCAUGUCACCUCCAAAAAGAAAAGUGUGAUUUCUGACUAAACAGCCCCCUCUCCACACAGAUGGGUCUUUAUUCUUUUCUCCCUUUCUUCCUAAGAAAUAUAGUAAAGGAUUAGGGAUGAUAUUGGAUUACAGCGUUCAGCAUGAUAAUGUUAAAACUAUGAUCUAAUCAUGAUCUUAACAGAGUCCCUUAGGUUUACAAACCAUGGUCUACUAACUGCUUCUGGUCUCCAGGUGGGAUUUCUUAACUUUCCCCAGAAGGUGAUAAUCAUGCAACAGGAAGAACCCUGGAACCAGAAGGCUGGACUCCAUCCUAGACUUAACAGUUUACUAGCUGCAAAAUGGUACCUUCCAGGGCUAUUUUAACGCUUCAAUGAGACAGUGAACAUAUAAGCACAAACAGAUGUGGGUCUCUAUGCUCCCCAACUCUCCCCUACCAAAGCAAUUCCAUAUAUCAUUAAAAACAAAACAAACCUUAACAAUCAUGUUUAUGAAAGCAAAAACCUCAGUGAGAUCCAAUGACUCCCACUGCUUCCUCUAUCACCAUGUCCAAAUGUUCCCUUCCUUCAAUCACUUGCAACCAGGUCAAGAAUUCUAAAGCAGCAGAAAAAAUAAAAGGGCAGAGACUUGUCAGUGGUUUUCUCUAGAGCCUCUAGUCUUGAAUCAGGUGUGGUUCAUCUGCUUCAAAAACACUGUUUUCAUAUUGCUUCUAUUACUUACCAAAGAAUGACUUAAGUCAUCUCCUUGCCCACCUUGACUUCAGUCAUCAAAAUGAGGGCCAGGUGUUGGGAUUUUAAGUUGAUAUCCAUCAUGGUCUUGUUCUUACAUUCCCUAAAGCUGAAACAGCUGGGCUUCUUGUUAAACGAUGUAUUUUUUCCCAGGUUCCUUCUAUAGCUACCCCCAAAAGACCCUUGGGUAAAGCAUUUGGGAAUGUAUAUUUUAACUCCCUAUCCCUUCUUCCAAACAAUUCCAACACAAAAAAUAUGAAAAUAACUAACUUAAAUUCCCUUUCAGAUAAAACUAUGUUGUAGCUCAGUGAUUUAAAAAAAAAAAAACAAACAAGAUUUUGCAAGUCAGAGUGACAGAGCUAUAGAGAGGCGGAAAGAUUGUCUGUUGGUUUACUCCCUAGAUUGCUACAGUGGCCAACAGUGGGCCAGACUGGAGCCAGGAGCUUCAUGCAGGUAUCCCACGUGGGAGGGGCCCAAACACUUGGGCCGUCUUCUGCCACUUUUCCCAAGCCAUUAGCAGGGAGCUGGAUUAGAAGCGGAGCAGCUGGCCAUGACACGGUGGCAAAAAACAAUCUAAAUGAAAGAUCCUGGUGAACAAGACCCCAGCAGAAGGAUCAGGCCAUCAAGGAGAGAGGUGCCUUUCUGUGAAGGGAGGAAGGAACCUCCACUGUGAUAUGGCCUUGACUAAACAAGUUCAGAGUCGGUGAACUCAAGGGGCUUCCAUAGCCUAGACAGCUCAUAGCAAGAGUCUCGGGUGAUUGCUGAUGUCAUAAAUAAGAGUGCCAAUUGUUAAAUCAACAACGGAAGUCACUGGGUACAUGCUCCCCACGUAGGAUCUCUGUCCUUAAUGUGUUCUACUAUGAAACUUAAAAACAACACUACUAGUCGAACAAUACCCUAUACCUUGUGCGGUUGUGUGAGUGCAGCCUGUUGAAAUCCUUGCUUAGUAUAUACUAAGUUGAUCUUCAGUAUAUGAAGGAAGCGGAGCAGCUGGAACACAAACCUGUGCCCAUUUGGAAUGCUGGUGUCCCAAGCAGUGGCAUUUUCCACUGUUCCAGACGGCCGGUCCCAGGUCAGUGCUUUUUAAGCUUUAAUUAAUUCCUUGGAAAUCUUGUUAAAGUAGUUUCUGAUUUGGUUAACUGCAGCGAGGCUUGAUAAUCUGUAUUGCUACUAAGCUCCUAGGUGAUGUUACUGGUUUCUGGACCUUCUCCUAAUUAGCAAAGCUUUAUGUGAAACUACAAGCUCACACAGUAGGUUGAUUUACUGUUUUGUGGUUUUUUAAAUAUUUAUCUAUUUGAUAAACAAGUUAGAGAGAGAGAGGUCUUCCAUCCACUGGUUCACUUCCCAGAUGGCUACAAUGGCUGGAGCUGCUCUGAUCCAAAGCCAGGAGACUAGAGCUUCUUUCAGGUCUCCCAAGUGGAUGCAGGGGCCCAAGGACUUGGGCCAUCUUCCACUGCUCUCCCAGGCCACAGCAGAUGGCUGGAUAGGAAGUGGAGCAGCCAGGAUACGAACCGACACCCAUAUGGGGUGCUGGCUCUGCAGGCAGCAGUUUUACCUGCUGGGCCACAGCACCAGCUCUGGUUGAUUUACUCUUUAGGAUGAAAAUAACACAGGUGAUAAAUAGCUCAAGGGUGGGAGAACAUACAAUUGGAUAGGAACCCCAAAUAUUUGCUUGUCUUGAGCGAAGACUUGAUGAAUGACCUUUGGGUGAUUUAGAUCCACCUUUAACACAGAGAGGACACAACUUUGGAGACAGCUGACUUGGUUAUGUCCCCUACUAUGUCACUUCCUAAUCAUCUGAUCUGCAGGGAGUGAGUUAAGCUUGUAAAGCCUUAAGUUCUUGAAUCUGCAAAACAAAGACAAUAAAAUCACUACCUCACUGAGUUGCUUUGAGCAUUAAAAGUGAUCUCACAUAUAAAAUUCCUAGCACAAUACAAUAAGUAACAUCAGGUUUUCUAGAGAUACUCCUUAAGCCUUUACUUGGACCUUGCCCCUAUCCUACAAACAUCACCACCUGGAGGCCAGCAGACUCUUCAUCACGAGAGGACUCUUGGCUUUCACAGGCCGCUGGGUGAUUUAUCACACAGCUGCUCUCCCAGGCUUGGAAGGCCAGUAGUAACCCUGCCAGAGACAGAUGGCAGAACUGGAGUCCAGGCACUUGUCAGUGAUAUUCAGUGGAUGCAUUCAUAAGGCGUUCCACACUCUCCUGGCAUCGUCUUCUAUUAGCUAUUCACCAAAGGAAGCCCACGACACAGCACGUGCCAGGAAGGAAGGCUGCGUGUGCACGUGCUGGCCGGGGCGCCUCAGGACAGCUUCAUCUUUCUUUCCUGAUUCAUUCAUUACUCAUUUCUAUGUGGUUGUGGUGAACAUGCCACCCAGCUUUUUAUGCCAUGUCUUUCUAAUUUUUUUGACAGGCAUCACAGUGCUUACUUUCCCUCCCCAAAUAAUUUUUGCUAAACAAGAAAAGAGCUUCAAUAGUCUGGACUUAACAGGAAGAAUUUUCAGCUGUUUGUUUUUUUUUUUAUCAUUUAGAGAGGUUAUCAACAAAUAUUUCUUUAGAAAUAGCAAUGUGCCUAGCAGUAUCUCCAGUCUUUGAGGGACCUUAUUACCAAAUCAUUUGUUAAGCAGCUUGGCUAAAAUAUAAAAUGUAAGAGUGAUUUUCUUUUUCCUUUAGGAUGGCAGUCCCAAACUUGGGUUAUAAAUUAGAAUCACCUAGGGGAACCUUAAACUAACUGAUAUUUGUACUCCAAUCCCAGAUCUCUUGAUUUAAUUGAUUUGGAAUGCAGCUUGGGUACAGGGAAUUUUAAAAGCAGCCAAAGUUGGCCGGUGCCACAGCUCAUUAGGCUAAUCCUCCACCUGCGGCACCGGCACCCCGGGUUCUAGUCCCAGUCGAGCACCAGUUCUGUCCCGGCUGCUCCUCUUCCAGUCCAGCUCUCUGCUGUGGCCGGGGAGUGCAGUGGAGGAUGGCCCAAGUGCUUGGGCCCUGCACCCGCAUGGGAGACCAGGAGGAAGCUCCUGGCUUCGGAUCGGCGCAGCGCCGGCCGUAGCGGCCAUUUGGGAGGUGAACCAAUGGAAAAAGGAAGACCUGUCUCUCUCUCUGUCUCUCACUGUCUAACUCUGCCUGUCCCAGGCCAUAGCAGAGAGCUGGACUGAAAGUGGAGCAGCCAGGAUCGAACUGGCGCCCAUAUGGAAUGCGGGCACUGCUUACCCGCUAUGCCACAGCGCCAGCCCCAUGAUGUUUUCCACUUUCAUCCAUUUUGUUGCAAAUGACAGGGUUGCUUUCUUUCUUUUUUUUUUUUUUUUUUUACCACUUUGUAGUAUUCCAUGGUGUACAUAUUCCAUAAUUUAUCCAGUCUUCGGUUGAUAGACAUUUGGGUUGAUUCCAUAUCUUAGCUAUUGUGAUUUGAGCUGCAAUAAACAUGGGGUUACAGAUAACUCUUUCAUAUGGUGAUUUUAUUUCCCUUAGGAAAAUUCACAGGAGUGGGAUGGCUGGGUCCUAUGAUAGUUUUUGAAGUGCUAAAAUCACUCUAAAAGCACAGGAGUUUUAAACCCUCCCCCCAAAAAAAGACACUAAAAGGUAUCUCUUAAGCAGUCCUAUAAAAUUAUCCCUUAGUGAUAUCUUUAAAUGCAAUAGAAAUCUGAUUUAUCUUUAUAGUUUCUCGGUUUUAGAAACCCAGGAGACAGAUCUCCAUGGAAUUUGAAAUAUUUUGAGAUUAUGACACUUUAGUGAGACUAGCUGGGUAAUUGAUGGGCCCAGUGCAAUAUUAGAGCACAGUGCCUUCCUUAGAAGACUAAGACUUUCGUGUGGUGAGAGCAGAAUGUUAACCAAGCUCCUGGCCCUGUGUGACUUUAUAGGCUGCAUACCCAUGAAGCCAGCCCGCUGUGUUCUGAAGGCAACAAGACCCCAAUAGUGCAUUUCUGGUUACCUGUCUGGUGAGUCAUUGGUAGCAACUGACACUCAACUGUGUGUUGCCAAUUGUUAUAUAGGUAGAUGGGCCCAGCUGUCUAUGGGACAUCUGCAGAGACAUCAACAAAAGGUAAAUAUUAUGGAUACUAACUUCAAUAUGUUUGUCAGGAAUGACAGUUGAAGGACAGAGGUUUUAUACAAGGACAAUUGGCUACUGAAGACCCAACUGAAUGCCAACAUUAUGCAGGAGAGUUCUCAUGACUAAAUAAGGUUAUGUGUCAGUAUAUAUUGUCUCUCUCUCUCUUUCUCUCACUCCUUCCCUCCCUCCCUCCCUCCUAUUUAUCCAGCUAAUAUGCAUAGAUCUGUACUUAAUUUUUCAGUAUUUCUAGCUCCCCUUACUCUCUUCAGCUAACAGAUGGCCUUGUACUUAUUGGGGGGAAGGAUCUGCCAGCAAAAAAAGAAGAAAAUAUCCUAACAGUCAUCUUGGACUUAGGUACACAAGUAGAUUUGGGGCAUGGACUUGUCUUGGCCAGAACCAAGAAGGCAAGGUUUUCCCCAGUCUAGAAAAGCAAGGGAGAAUCAGAAAGCCAAAGUGUCCCUCAGCAAGAGGACAUAUACCACACAUCCCAGACAGAACCAUCUGGGAAAUAACCCUUGCCCUACAAAAGGGCAAAGAGGCUGAUUGGAUGAGAGAAAGCCUUGAGCCCCAGUAGGGUCUGGGGGCAGAGAAGCAGCAUGCACAUUCUGGAAAAGGACAGACGACAUCUCACUGGCAACUUAGGUUCCCUGGUGAUGGAGGCUCCAGGACCACAGGGCGUGCUCUAUUGUGGCCUGCCCCUCAACACCCAUAUAUGUAAAGUAUUGGAAAAUAUCGUGGAGGAUGCACACCAAACUGCUAAAAGUGGUUGUCUUUGAAUCAAAAACUCAGAUUUGUGAAGGGUGAUUUUAGCUCUUUCUUUAUAAAAACCAAUUUUGCAAUGACAGUGUUCUAAAGCAUUUCAUAUACAAUUAAGGAUGAACUGUUACAUGUUAAAACUAAGAUAAUGUUUCUGAAUACCAAAGUUAAUAUUUCAUUGAGUAGAUGAAUAGCAAUUUACUUAGCCAUUGCCCUGUAUUUGGUAGGUUAGGCUGUUUCCAUUCUUUUAUAUUAUAGAUCUUCACAUGGCAGCUUCUUCUUCUGUUGAUUUAUUUCUCUAGGAUAGAUUCCAAGAGUGGGAUUACUAGAUAAAAUAGUACAAACAUAUUUCUGGCUCAUGAUAUAUUUUUCCACAUUGCUUUCCAAAAAUUUGUGCUGCUCCUUCCUCGACAUUACUACAUUAAAAAAAAUGAGUGAGCCCUCCUACUAACUGGCACUAACCCAUUUUUCUAGUUCUGUUUCCUAGCUCUCAGUAAUGCACACUCUUCACUUCAGUUUUUAACCUUUUUUAUGACUGAGAUCUCCUACAGGAACUUCAACCUAUAAUCUUUCUUGUAUGCCUAAUGUAUGCGUAUCCUACAAGAUAAAUAUGAUCCGUAUUCCCAUUUUAUAGACGAGAACACUGAGGCUUGCAGAGAUCAAGUAAUUUUCCUAGGGUGGCAUAACAAACAAGUAGCACAGUUCAUACUUUUAGUCAUACUUCUAUAUUCUCUCCACAUGUGGGUGUCUUUCUCCAUCAAUUUGAUAUGAACAGGGUUGGCUUGAACCUAAGUAACUCCAGUUUGGUCAUCGGAUCUAGUUUUGUCGAAGCCUUCCUGCCUCAUCUGCCUUCUUGGUACCAGUCUAUAUCUAUAUCCCCACUACCUUUCUGCCUGUGCCACUCUUCAUGGCUUGGUUCUCAGGCUGUCAAUUUGUUUCAUUAACUCAGGCUCCAUCCUUUAUGUUCCAGGUGCUUUAACAUAAGGUGCUAGAUCAGUGGUUUGGGUUACAUACUCAAGUCACUGGGGAACUUAAAACAAAUGAACCAAAACCAGGACUGAACUCCAUCCCCGGAAAUCUGGAUUCAGCUGAUCCAUUGUAAAGUCUGAGCAUGGUUCUGAGGUUGUUUUGAAGUUACUUGGGUACUUUUGGAGUUGAGAAACUACCUGUAUCGUAGAGGCUAUCCUUGGCUUCCUUCUGGGUUUAGAGAUUGAUGUGCCUUUUUCUGGCUUUGUUUGCUUAUCGGUUGGACAAUUUUAUGUUUAGUAAUAGUUACAUGAUUUCCCAUGGCUACCACCACCGCUUGAAUUGUUUAUCUGUGUGCCCUGCUGUCAUCCUGCCUGUUCUAUUUUGUCUUUCUGUGCCCUCACUUAGCAAGAGCACAUUGCUGAUCUUACUUUCAAAUCUUUGCUCUUGCUAUUGCUGUUGCUUUUAACCACUCCAUAUUUCUCUAGUCUAAUCUUGUUGAACUGAAACUUCACACCAGCCAUCAAAUUCUUCCUUUUCACAGCCUACACAACUGAUUCUUCUGAACUCCUAUUUUAAUUCUAAUAUACUUCAUUAUAGAGGUUUCUUUCUCGUUUAGCAUUGAAGGGUGAUGUAUGAUUUUCAUAUGUAGACAAGAGGAAAUGUUUUUAAUUGUGAUUAAGAGAACAGGAUUCAGAAGCUGGUGUUGUUGUGUAGCGAGUAAAGCUGCAGCCUAUGAGGCUGGCAUCCCAUAUGAGUGCCAGUUCAAGUCCUGGCUGCUCUACAUUUGAUCCAGCUCCCUGCUGAUGGACUGGGAAAGCAACAGAAGAUAGACCAAGUCUUUGGGCCCCUGCACCCACACCCAUGUGCGAGACCUGGAAGAAGCUCCUGGCUCUUGACUUCAGUCUGGCCCAGCCCUGGCUGUCUGGCCAUCUGGGGAUUGAAACAGCAGAUGGAAGUUCUCUCUUUCUGUAACUUUGCCUUUCAAAUAAAUAAAAUAAAUCUUUUUUAAAAAAUGAGAGAGAGAGAAAACAGGAUUCAUAGUUAGGAAGACCGGUGUUACAAAUUUUGAAAUUCUAGGCUGCCACUUAGUUAAGCCCUUAAAACCUUAGUUUUCUCAUUUAUAAAUGAAAGAUAACAGUGAGAUCUACAUAUAUGUAGAGAGAGCUUAUCUGAACCCAUAGAGAGUAUUUAACAGAGUACCUGCCACAUGUUAAAAAAUGUCAUACAGGGCAACUACUAGAAAUAAUGUUGUAGUAAGACUGAUUUCUUUCAGCUAAAGCAGUGGAAAUUAAGAACAUAUGUAUCCCAAUGAGCAAUUUCCUCUUAUCAACUGCCUCAUGAAUAUUUGUUAUAUGAAUGAGUGCAAGAUGCCCACUUAUGAUGAUAUUGCAUAGCCCAGUUCUUUUCCAGAAAUCCUCUUUUGGAAUUGCCUACACACUCAAGUUAUGAGUCAGAAGGGAAAAGGAUCCUAUUACUCUGGCCUCUGCUUCCUUUUUUUUUAAACCAAAAAAGGUGAAUAGUAUUUCGUUGUAUGCCUUAUAUGUGGGAGAUAAAAUUUAAAAAGAAAAAAGGAAAAAAAAGAACUAAAUGAAAGAUCUCUGUGAGUGAGAUCCCAGUGGAAAGAACGGGCCAUCAAAGAAGGAGGUACCUUUCUCUGAAGGGAGGAGAGAACUCCACUUUGACUACAACCUUGUCUAAAUAAGAUUAGAGUCAGCGAACUCAAAGGUCUUCCAUAGCCUUGGCAACUCAAGACAAGAGCCUAGGGAGAUUACUGAUGCCAUAAACAAGAGUGUCAAUUUGUUAAGUCAACAACAGGAGUCACUGUGCACUUACUCCUCAUGUAGGAUCUCUGUCCUUAAUGUGUUGUUCAAUGUGAAGUAAUGCUAUAACUAGUACUGAAACAGUAUUUUACACUUUAUGUUCUGUGUGGGUGCAAACUGAUGAAAUCUUUACUUAAUAUAUACUAAAUCGAUCUUCUGUAUAUAAAGAGAAUUGAAAAUGAAUCUUGAUGUGAAUGGAAUGGGAGAGGGAGUGGGAGA